AUUCCUACGGGAGGCAGCAGUGGGGAAUUUUGGACAAUGGGCGAAAGCCUGAUCCAGCCAUGCCGCGUGCGGGAAGAAGGCCUUCGGGUUGUAAACCGCUUUUGUCAGGGAAGAAACGUCUUGGGAUAAUACCCCGAGAUAAUGACGGUACCUGAAGAAUAAGCACCGGCUAACUACGUGCCAGCAGCCGCGGUAAUACGUAGGGUGCAAGCGUUAAUCGGAAUUACUGGGCGUAAAGCGUGCGCAGGCGGUCGUGCAAGACAGAUGUGAAAUCCCCGGGCUUAACCUGGGAACUGCAUUUGUGACUGCACGGCUGGAGUGCGGCAGAGGGGGAUGGAAUUCCGCGUGUAGCAGUGAAAUGCGUAGAGAUAUGGAGGAACAUCGAUGGCGAAGGCAGCUUCCUGGGUUAACACUGACGCUCAUGCACGAAAGCGUGGGGAGCAAACAGGAUUAGAUACCCUGGUAGUCCACGCCCUAAACGAUGCCAACUAGUUGUUGGGGAAGGAGACUUCCUUAGUAACGAAGCUAACGCGUGAAGUUGACCGCCUGGGGAGUACGGCCGCAAGGUUAAAACUCAAAUGAAUUGACGG
rnacentral:rRNA from 1 species